UACGGGGGGAGCAAGCGUUGUUCGGAUUUACUGGGCGUAAAGCGCGCGUAGGCGGACCUGCAAGUCGGGGGUGAAAGCCCGAGGCUCAACCUCGGAACUGCCUUCGAUACUGCGGGGCUCGAGUCCGGGAGAGGUGAGUGGAAUUCCUAGUGUAGAGGUGAAAUUCGUAGAUAUUCGCAAGAACACCAGUGGCGAAGGCGGCUGACUGGUCCGGUUCUGACGCUGAGGCGCGAAAGCGUGGGGAGCAAACAGG
rnacentral:rRNA from 1 species